rnacentral:rRNA from 1 species
AUACGGAGGAUCCGAGCGUUAUCCGGAUUUAUUGGGUUUAAAGGGAGCGUAGGCGGACGCUUAAGUCAGUUGUGAAAGUUUGCGGCUCAACCGUAAAAUUGCAGUUGAUACUGGGUGUCUUGAGUACAGUAGAGGCAGGCGGAAUUCGUGGUGUAGCGGGGAAAUGCUUAGAUAUCACGAAGAACUCCGAUGGCGAAGGCAGCCUGCUGGACUGUAACUGACGCUGAUGCUCGAAAGUGUGGGUAUCAAACAGGAUUAGAUACCCUGGUAGUCCACACAGUAAACGAUGAAUACUCGCUGUUUGCGAUAUACAGUAAGCGGCCAAGCGAAAGCGUUAAGUAUUCCACCUGGGGAGUACGCCGGCAACGGUGAAACUCAAAUGAAUUGGCGGGG